CGGUGGCUUAAUGGCAAGAGCGUCGGUUUCCGAAGCCGGAGAUUGCGGGUUCGAGUCCCGUCUGG
rnacentral:ncRNA from 11 species